CCUACGGGAGGCAGCAGUGAGGAAUAUUGGUCAAUGGACGAGAGUCUGAACCAGCCAAGUAGCGUGAAGGAUGACGGCCCUAUGGGUUGUAAACUUCUUUUAUAUGGGAAUAAAAUGUUCCACGUGUGGGAUUUUGUAUGUACCAUAUGAAUAAGGAUCGGCUAACUCCGUGCCAGCCGCCGCGGUAAUACGGAGGAUCCGAGCGUUAUCCGGAUUUAUUGGGGUUACAGGGAUCGUAGGUGGAUUGUUAAGUCAGUUGUGAUAGUUUGCGGCUCAACCUUAAAAUUGCAGUUGAAACUGGCAGUCUUGAGUACAGUAGAGGUGGGCGGAAUUCGUGGUGUAGCGGUGAAAUGCUUAGAUAUCACGAAGAACUCCGAUUGCGAAGGCAGCUCACUGGACUGAAACUGACACUGAGGCUCGAAAGUGUGGGUAUCAAACAGGAUUAGAUACCCUUGUAGUC
rnacentral:rRNA from 1 species